GUCUACGGACCAAAGUGUGGGACCUUCGGGCCACAUGCUAUCGGAUGCGCCUACGUGGGAUUAGCUAGUUGGUGAGGUAAUGGCUCACCAAGGCGACGAUCCCUAGCUGGUUUGAGAGGAUGAUCAGCCACACUGGAACUGAGACACGGUCCAGACUCCUACGGGAGGCAGCAGUGGGGAAUAUUGGACAAUGGGCGCAAGCCUGAUCCAGCCAUGCCGCGUGUGUGAAGAAGGCCUUCGGGUUGUAAAGCACUUUCAGUUGGGAGGAAGCGUUGUGUGUUAAUAGUACACAGCGUUGACGUUACCAACAGAAGAAGCACCGGCUAACUCUGUGCCAGCAGCCGCGGUAAUACAGAGGGUGCAAGCGUUAAUCGGAAUUACUGGGCGUAAAGCGCACGUAGGCGGUUUUUUAAGUCAGAUGUGAAAGCCCCGGGCUCAACCUGGGAAUUGCAUUUGAAACUGGAAAACUAGAGUGUGUGAGAGGGGGGUAGAAUUCCAAGUGUAGCGGUGAAAUGCGUAGAGAUUUGGAGGAAUACCAGUGGCGAAGGCGGCCCCCUGGCACAAGACUGAACGCUCAGGUGCGAAAGCGUGGGGAGCAAACAGGUAUUAGAUACCCUGGUAGUCCACGCCGUAAACGAUGUCGACUUGGAGGUUNGUGCCCUUGAGGCGUGNGCUUCCGGAGCUAACGCGUUAAGUCGACCGCCUGGGGAGUACGGCCGCAAGGUUAAAACUCAAAUGAAUUGACGGGGGCCCGCACAAGCGGUGGAGCAUGUGGUUUAAUUCGAUGCAACGCGAAGAACCUUACCUGGUCUUGACAUCCACGGAAGUUUUCAGAGAUGAGAAUGUGCCUUCGGGAACCGUGAGACAGGUGCUGCAUGGCUGUCGUCAGCUCGUGUUGUGAAAUGUUGGGUUAAGUCCCGCAACGAGCGCAACCCUUAUCCUUUGUUGCCAGCNGGUNCCGGCCGGGAACUCAAAGGAGACUGCCAGUGAUAAACUGGAGGAAGGUGGGGAUGACGUCAAGUCAUCAUGGCCCUUACGAGUAGGGCUACACACGUGCUACAAUGGUAUGUACAGAGGGAGGCAAGCUGGCGACAGUGAGCGGAUCUCUUAAAGCAUAUCGUAGUCCGGAUCGCAGUCUGCAACUCGACUGCGUGAAGUCGGAAUCGCUAGUAAUCGCAAAUCAGAAUGUUGCGGUGAAUACGUUCCCGGGCCUUGUACACACCGCCCGUCACACCAUGGGAGUGGGUUGCAAAAGAAGUAGGUAGCUUAACCUUCGGGAGGGCGCUU
rnacentral:rRNA from 1 species